rnacentral:rRNA from 1 species
UUAAUACUGGUAAUUCACUGGGCGUACAACGCGUGCGCUAGGCGGUUUUGGUAACGACAGAUGUGAAAUCCCCGGGCUUAACCUGUGGAACUGCGUUCUGUGAACAUGCAAGGCAUAGAGUAUCGGCAGAGGGGGGUGGAAUUCCCUGGUGUACGCAUGUGUAAAUGCGUAGAUAUCAGGAGGAACACUCGAUGGCGUAAGGCAUGCCCCCUGGGCCUGUACUUGACGCUCAUGCACGUGAAGCGUGGGGAGCAAACAGGAUUAGAUACCCUGGUAGUCCACGCACCUAAACGAUGUCGACUAGUACGUUACGGAGCUAGCUAAUGCACUGAGUGACGCUAGCUAACGUCGUGAAGUUGACCGCCUGGGG